CUACAGUAAGAGGGUGGUAACUAAGGCAUCCUUGUCAAUGGGGAAAAAAACCCUUUCAGAAAGAUAAUGCAGAUGCUCAAGUUCAAGUUCUCAUCACUGGGGAUGAGGACCUCUCAGACAAAAACCAGAAAAAGGAGAUCUACAGUAAAAGGGCAGUGACCGAGGCUGCUCGAUCUGAAGAAAAAGAAUCCUUGCAGAAAGACACUACAGGUUCCAGUGCUGCUGCUGCUUCAGAGCAGUCAGCUCAACUACAAGACACGAAGAUUGAUAAUCUACCAGACACUAAAGCCAUUAAACAGAAAGGGGAGAUCCACAGUAAGAGGACAGUUCCUAAGGAAGCCUGGCCCGAAGAGGAGAAAUCCUUGCAAAUAGAUAUUGCAGAGUCCAGAUGUCAUUCAGAAUUUGAAAAUACCACCCAUUCUGUCUUCAGGUCAGCUAAGUUUUACUUUCAUCAUCCAGUGCACCUACCAAGUGAUCAAGAUUUUUGCCAUGAAUCCUUAGGAAGAAGAGUUUUCCUGAGGCAUUCUUGGAAAGAUUCCUUUCAGCAUCAUCCAGACAAACAAAGAGAACACACUUGUCUUCCUUCCUCUUAUCAAAAUGUGGCAAAGACAAAGUCAG